CCUCGUCGGUCAUGUGACCGUGUUACUGUUCGGGCUCAAACUGAUACGAGUGGUUUAGCAGGUGUGACAGGACGAUGCUGCACAGCCUCAUUGUUCAGGUGUGAGUCAGACUCUGAGUCUUUAUACAGUCCUGUUUAACAACAUGUUGUUCCUGUUGAUGUGUCACAGAGAUCAGCUGUGCUAAACUCUGCUGCGUGCAGCUACUAGUUUCUCUAGUUUGGUGAUGGAAACGUCGAUGAGACUGUUUCCAUCACCAAACAUCACGAGGAACACCUCUGACUCUGAUUCUGACUCUGUGCAUAAAACCACAAUUAUCCCUUCAUGUCUGUUCAUCUGAUUCUGUAACGUGAGAAACUUUGAUGUCUGAAUUUUGAAUCAUUAAUCAUUAAAGUCCAGACUCGUAAUUCUUAGAGGUUGGACUCAGCAGACGCUCCAUAACACAACAUCAUCACAGUCCUUCAGUUAUGAUUUCAUAUGAUUGAGUUUUGAGUGUUACAGUGAUGUGUUUUCAUGUUGUUGCAGGUCUCUGAGUGUGAAACCUGUCAGUUAAAACGAAGAUCUUUCACUUCAUUUCCCUCACUGCGUUUCAAGACCUGAUUUUCUGAUUUUCAUGCGCUCACUUCCUGUGUUGUGACAAGUUAAUUAUCCUGAGUGCGCACUGGGCAGGGAGACUCCGCCUCCAUUAAAACAAACUAGAUGUGGAAGUAGUGACGUUUUAGUUUAGUGCAGACGUGAGAGAUGAGUGUCGUUACAUUACUGUUCAUUUUCUGUUACAGCGUUUAUUGUCCACACGUGUGAUCAGACAGGAUUAUUUCAACGAUCUCAUGUUUAUUUUAUCCUCCUGUAACUUUAUGAAGAGCUAAACCUUCACCACUAGUUAGUCCUCAUAAGAACUGUUUGUGAGCUAAGAAUCAACAAUGACAAAGACUGUGAGUGUCAUGCAGUGACUCCUCAGAAUUAGGCUGAUUUUUAAGUUUUGUGUCAAUCAAAGCUAGAAGCUGGUGUAGCGUUGAGCUUUAUUGUUGAUUAAUUAAAAAAAUAUAUGUAAAAGAAAAAAGGACUAGAUGUGUUUUCUGUCUUUAGAAAAAGGUAAAAUUGGUUAUAUUUUGUUGGGCUAAUUCUGACCAAUCGUGACAGUCCAGAACUUUUCCCUGCUGCUGUAUCCUGUAACAAUCAGUGUUGGGACUAACGUGUUCGUAAAUAACGCGUUAGGUGUGAUGAUAACGCCAACUGAUUUUAGUUUUAUGAUUCCUGGCUCCCAUCUAUGAGGUUUCUCAUGUUUGUAAAAGUUACCUCAUCAUCCUCAGAGUCAUCCUCCUCAACUGGCUGCUACUUUAUGAAAACCAUGUGUAACACCUGCACAUGUGUUUGAAAAAACAAACGCUUUGAUUUUGACACCCCAAGAAAUCUCCUAGAUCUGCACGUGUUCAGAGUAAGAGCAGAAUAAACAGCAGCAGAAGCUGAUUGAUGAACAGCUGAAUGACAUAUCAGCUGUAGCUGCAGCAUCUGCACAGAGUUUGAUUGGCUAACGCUGAUUUGUUUGUUUUUUUAAACAGUACAGCAGAGAGAGAGAGAGAGGAGAUGAAGAGUGCAGCAGAUUGAUGAGACAGUGAAGAAGAGAAAGAUGAUGGAAGAACCUAAAGAACAGCCAGCCAAAGCAGCUCCAUCAGCAGAGGAGGAGCUUGCCAGGGUGCGGUCAGCCUUUGUCUGGAGGGUAACAACAGAAAUCCUUAAACUGCUCCUUGAGGCCCUUGUAAGUGAUGGUAUCUUAAAUAAGUUGGAGGAAGAAUCGAUACUGGAGGGGAACCCACUCAGAGCAGACAAGGCACGCAGCUUGAUCGACACAGUGAGGAAAAAAGGAGACAAAGCAUGCAAGAUAACAAUCAAGCAUCUUCAGAUCAA